GCCAACGUCUUAAUUCCAUUUUAGACCCUUGAGACAGGAGUUUAUACAGGAUUUUAAAAUGUACCUUCGCUUUGCAUUGAUAAUGAUGUUGAUAUCUCUUGCCGAUGGCUGUUUAGGAGACCCAUGUAUUUCUACAUGUUUGGAUUCCUACGUUGAAUGCAAUAGAAUCUGCGACAGUUUAGGUGAAUCAGAUUUACUUCGACGUUUGCAUUGUCCAGACUGUGAUGAAGCCUUCUCGACUUGUCAACAAAACUGUGCAAAAGUAUAAACUUACUAGCCAUGAAGAUAAUGUGAAAAAGUUUGGAGCUGAACAUCCCUCAGAUAUUGAAUUUUAACUUCAAUAUAUUAAAAAUAUUUGUUUAUAAUGUAAAAAAAAAUUGAAAUCAAGAACAUUUUUUUGGAAAUUCAUCAAAUUAUCUUCUCCACAUGAUUCGUUCAAUUCAAUUCAUAUGAAUUUUAAUAUCAGAAUAAAUUUUUACAAACUA